GUCAGUUGCCAUGCAACGUCUGGAGGGCGGUGCAGCUAGUCUGGGCCCGGCCUCGUUCUCUUACUAGCGGUGUCCAGUGCCUUUCUGUCCGACCCUGCCCCGCCCUCCUUCCCAGCCUAGGUGCAGGUCUUGUCCGGAGCAGACCGCCCGGGGCCAACCCAAGCUUACACAACUACCUCGACCUGGGAUGGGAAGUGGUGAAAGUUUCACUUGAGUUGAUGACCUGCCGCAUAGAUGAGGAUUGGUGCAAACGUGAUGUAUAUCAACUGCGUGAAGUCCUUGGCGGAAACUUAAAGUGACAUUUUAGGCGCCCUGGAGUGUGUCCACCCUCCCGCCUUAUAUCGGUUGAACCCCAGCCUCCCUGGGUUUACACAGUGACUUCAUUUGUGAAUGGUCCCUAUAAGGUUUCAUUUGUCUGUGACCUCUACCUGGACUUCUGUACUUGAAGUAAGAAAGUAUUGAAAAGCAUAGUUUUGCUACUUGAUCUUGGAAUUUUCUAGUACAAACUUCAGCUAGAAGCUGUUACUUCUGCAGACCUGAGGCCCCUACCUACAGAAGCCGGGACUCUACUGUUUACUGAUGAGUCUCCAGCUUGGAAUGAGGUUCAUUGCAGCACUGGCCAUUUGCACAGGGAAGAUAAGUCCUUUUACCGUAACUUUUCCUGGGACAGAGCCACACGUGCUCAGCACAUCCUUCUCUUUCUCAGAUUAACGAUGAAACUUCAGUCACUUGGCUCCGAUACUCUUUGUAUUUAGUUUGAAAGAGAACAACUAACACUUUUUAUGUAACUCAGACUUCUUAGUGAGUAUUGUUUUGUUUGUUUGUUUGU